GACGAACGCUGGCGGCGUGCCUAAUACAUGCAAGUCGAGCGAAGUUUUUCUGGUGCUUGCACUAGAAAAACUUAGCGGCGAACGGGUGAGUAACACGUAAAGAACCUGCCUCAUAGACUGGGACAACUAUUGGAAACGAUAGCUAAUACCGGAUAACAGUAUUUCUCGCAUGAGAGAUAUUUAAAAGUUGGUUAUGCUAACACUAUGAGAUGGCUUUGCGGUGCAUUAGCUAGUUGGUGGGGUAAAGGCCCACCAAGGCGACGAUGCAUAGCCGACCUGAGAGGGUGAUCGGCCACACCGGGACUGAGACACGGCCCAGACUCCUACGGGAGGCAGCAGUAGGGAAUCUUCCGCAAUGGGCGAAAGCCUGACGGAGCAACGCCGCGUGAGUGAAGAAGGAGUUCGGUUCGUAAAGCUCUGUUGUUAGGGAAGAAUGGAUAUGUAGUAACUAUACAUGUAAGAGACGGUACCUAACCAGAAAGCCACGGCUAACUACGUG
rnacentral:rRNA from 1 species